UGAAUAAAUCUCAUAGGAGUUGGGAUGAAGAAGUUAUCCCACUUUCAAAUCAGGUGAUUCCAGUUUCCCAGUUUGGGAAUAGGACAGCUUCUUCAUGUUGAACUGAAGAGAAGAUAGAGCUUGUGUUAACUUGAAGAAUAGAAAUGGAGUGAAAGGAGAAGUAUGGAGGAGUUAGGUCUGGUACAAAGAUAGGGCAAGUCCUUUAGGGAUUGUCUAUCAAGCUUCAGGAGUGUCUCUUUGUGUCCAGAAGUGAUCUGAUGGUUGUGCAAAGAUAGGGCCAAGUCCAGGAGGGACUUAGAAGAGUAUUUAGGCGAGUGUGCAAACUUAGGGACUGGCCGUACGGAUUUGGUACGGACGUUGUACGGACCGUACGGAUCCGUACGGACCAAGACAUCCCGAAAGUUCACCAGUCGACCAUUUGAGCACAUUUGAGGUUGGUGCAAAAAUAGGGCAGAGGUAAGCUCUUAAGAGAAGAAGACAAAAGAAGGAAGCUGGCGCCAAAGACAGGCUGGAACAGGCUGGCCAAGAGCUGUGUAUUGACCAUGUAUCUAGUCUGAUAUAUGGGAAAGUUCAAGGGAGCCUUACAGCAACCAAUCAGGCACCAGUCUCCACAUUGACCAGAUUCAAAUGAGCCAAUCAUGAAGCAACAAGAGCACAGCCAAUGAAGAAUCACGACCAGCCUUACUCUCCAUCCUAUCCAUCCAUUUAAAUUCAAGUUAUAUCAGCCAUUAGAUUUAGGUUUAUGAUUUGCAUCUUGUAAGAGCAUAUAUAAGCUUAUAUGUGGCAUUUUGUAUGAACUAAGUGAGUAAGGGGGUUUCCCUUCUCCUUCUCUAAUCUGAAACACUUUCUCUUAGUCU